UACGGAGGGUGCGAGCGAUACCCGGAUUUACUGGGUGAAAAGGGCGUGUAGGCGGUCUCUCAAGUCCGAUGCUAAAGACCGAAGCUCAACUUCGGGGGUGCGUUGGAUACUGUGAGGCUAGACGGUCGGAGGGGGUAGCGGAAUUUCCGGAGUAGCGGUGAAAUGCGCAGAUACCGGAAGGAACGCCGAUAGCGAAGGCAGCUACCUGGACGAUUGGUGACGCUGAGACGCGAAAGCGUGGGGAGCAAACCGG
rnacentral:rRNA from 1 species